UCGCCCCAUUCCGAGCCCGGCGGACGAACUUCGUCCGCGCACCCCACCAAGGCUAUAGCCCACCCGUUUUUUGGCCAUUUUUCCGCUGGGGGGUUUUGGCACCACGACCUUCGGGCGAUUAUUUCUGGACGCGGCUGUGCCCGCGACUUCCCGCGGGCACCCCGAGGCCCCUCGCAAAGUCUCGCCCCAUUCCGAGUCCGGCGGAAGAACUUCGCCCGAGCCCCCCACCAAGGCUAUAGCCCACCCGUUUUUUGGCCAUUUUUCCGCUGGGGGGUUUUGGCACCACGGCCUUCGGGCGCUUAUUUCUGGAUGCGGCUGUGCCCGCGACUUCCCGCGGGCACCCCGAGGCCCCUCGCAAAGUCUCGCCCCAUUCCGAGUCCGGCGGACGAACUUCGCCCGCGCCCCCCACCGAGGCUAUAGCCCACCCAUUUUUUGGCCAUUUUUCCGCUGGGGGGUUUUGGCACCACGACCUUCGGGCGCUUAUUUUUGGGCGCGGCUGUGCCCGCGACUUCCCGCGGGCACCCCGUGGCCCCUCGCAAACUCUCGCCCCAUUCCGAGUCCGGCGGACGAACUUCGCCCGCGCCCCCAACCAAGGCUAUAGCCCACCCGUUUUUUGGCCAUUUUUCCGCUGGGGGGUUUUGGCACCACGACCUUCUGGCGCUUAUUUUUGGGCGCGGCCUUGCCCGCGGCUUUAUUUUGGCACCCCGAGGCCCCUCGCAAAGUCUCGCCCCUUUUCGAGACCGGUGGAGGAACUUCGCCCGCGCCCCCCCCCAAGGUUUAUGCCCCCCCGUUUUUUGGGCCAUUUUUCCGCUGGGGGGUUUUGGCACCACGACCUUCGGGCGCUUAUUUUUGGACGCGGCAUUGCCCGCGGCUUAUUUUUGGUGCCCCGAGGCCCCUCGUAAAGUCUCGUCCCAUUCCGAGUCCGGCGGACGAACUUCGCCCGCGCCCCCCACCGAGGCUAUAGCCCACCCGUUUUUUGGCCAUUUUUCCGCUGGGGGUUUUUGGCACCACGACCUUCGGGCGCGGCUUUGCCCGCGGCUUAAUUUUGGCACCCCGAGGCCCCUCGCAAAGUCUCGCCCCAUUCCGAGUCCGGCGGACUAACUUCGCCCGCGCCCCCCACCAAGGCUAUAGCCCACCCGUUUUUUGGCCAUUUUUCCGCUGGGUGGUUUUGGCACCACGACCUUCGGGCGCUUAUUUUUGGGCGUGGCUUUGCCCGCGGCUUAUUUUUGGCACCCCGAGGCCCCUCGCAAAGUCUCGCCCCAUUCCGAGUCCGGCGGACGAACUUCGCCCGCGCCCCCCACCAAGGCUAUAGCCCACCCGUUUUUUGGCCAUUUUUCCGCUGGGGGGUUUUGG
rnacentral:lncRNA from 1 species